CUGCUGCUGCUGCUGUUCACUCAUGCUGCUGCUGGGCCUCACCCCUCUACUGUAGGAACCCUCUGGGCAGCUGGCCGGAUGGAGCCACGUCAGAGCCCAGCAGGGCACCUGGCCUGGACACCUGCAACAACAGUGAUGGCCGGCACAAGGAAGGGCCCACGAGAACACGUACUAAUUGUGAGGCGGAGCGCCACGGCCCACGAGUUCCGCUGUGCCUGCUGUCACACACUCUGGGCCUCUGCUGCUCAAGUGUCAAGUCUGAGCGGCGAGCGGCGCGCCACACCACCAAAAGGAAACCUCAAUAUUAUUAAGGCCACACUCAAACAAACUGACAUUUUGCUGUAUUGUCAUGGUUUGCUCUGUUAUUUAGCGGCGUACACACCGUACGUCACGCUCACCACAAAUAAAGACAAAAGGAUCAAGUAAU